rnacentral:rRNA from 1 species
AUCUUCGGCAAUGGGCGCAAGCCUGACCGAGCAACGCCGCGUGAGUGAGGAAGGCUUUCGGGUCGUAAAGCUCUGUUGCCAGGGAAGAGAAGCAAGGAGAGGCAAUGCUCCUUGCGAGACGGUACCUGAGAAGAAAGCCCCGGCUAACUACGUGCCAGCAGCCGCGGUAAUACGUAGGGGGCAAGCGUUGUCCGGAAUUAUUGGGCGUAAAGCGCGCGCAGGCGGUUCUUUAAGUCUGGUGUAUAAGUGCGGGGCUCAACCCCGUGACCUACUAGAAACUGAGGGACUUGGAGUGCAGAAGAGGAGAGCGGAAUUCCACGUGUAGCGGUGAAAUGCGUAGAGAUGUGGAGGAACACCAGUGGCGAAGGCGGCUCUCUGGACUGUAACUGACGCUGAGGCGCGAAAGCGUGGGGAGCAAACAGG